UGAGCCUUCCCGUCUCCCUCUGUUGGA
rnacentral:piRNA from 1 species